CCUACGGGUAGCAGCAGUGAGGAAUAUUGGUCAAUGGACGAGAGUCUGAACCAGCCAAGUAACGUGAAGGAUGACUGCCCUAUGGGUUGUAAACUUCUUUUAUAUAGGAAUAAAAUGUUCCACGUGUGGGCUUUUGUAUGUACCAUAUGAAUAAGGAUCGGCUAACUCCGUGCCAGCAGCCGCGGUAAUACGGAGGAUCCGAGCGUUAUCCGGAUUUAUUGGGUUUAAAGGGAGCGUAGGUGGAUUGUUAAGUCAGUUGUGAAAGUUUGCGGCUCAACCGUAAAAUUGCAGUUGAAACUGGCAGUCUUGAGUAUAGUAGAGGUGGGCGGAAUGCGUGGUGUAGCGGUGAAAUGCUUAGAUAUCACGAAGAACUCCGAUUGCGAAGGCAGCUCACUGGACUGCAACUGACACUGAGGCUCGAAAGUGUGGGUAUCAAACAGGAUUAGAUACCCUAGUAGUC
rnacentral:rRNA from 1 species